AAGUCGUAACAAGGUUUCCGUAGGUGAACCUGCGGAAGGAUCAUUAACACGUAUCCACGUAUCUACCUCUUGCGAACUUGUUUUGUUGAUAGUUGUGCUGGGUAUUAACAGAGGAAGCAGAUGGCCAUGUCGGAAUCGUCUUUCUGUUCUGCUUGCCUUCCGCCCAUGUUUGAGUGCUAGUGUAUUGAGAUGUGGAGUUUAAAUCGUCUUUUAAAUAUCCAUGUCCUGCUAGCCUGUUACUCCUUGGGAUGGGUAUCUGGUGCAACUCGAAUCAUGGUGGUUUAUUAACUAUUAACCCCUUUUUCAAUUUAUUUGUCUUAGUGAGUGUUUCUUUUGAAAAAAAGAAGCCUCCCCAAAAAAUAACAAAGAUACAACUCUUAGCAACGGAUAUCUCGGUUCU
rnacentral:misc_RNA from 1 species